GCAUUUAUUAAAAAUUAUUUAUUAAAAUUUAUCUGGUCAGUUACCACACUUCUGCAUAAUCCUGUUUUCAGUAUUUGAGACAAUGAGGGAACUACGCACUCCCUUGAACUCUGCAGAAUUCAAUUUUUAAGGUCAGCCUUCAAGAUCAGUGCAAGGAUAUAUAAAGCCCCCUGAGAGACCACCCAUCUUGACAAUUUAAAUGAGAAUAGCCUUGAACACAGAAGCAUGACCAAAGGAGUGACACAGACACUGGCAGUGCCCAUCACUGCCCCGGCCUAGGACAGCUCCAUCCUGCAGAUUCCCUGUGUCCUGAGGGUCCUACGGCCAGAGCCGUCCAUUUCCAGAAAUGGAUCAGUUAAACUCCCGGUUCUGAUUCCAGGGUCAUCCGUACUCCAGAAAUGAUGGGCUUUGCAUUUAUAGCUGCUUACAGGGAGUCUGGCUGUUCUGGUCGUGCUGACAGACAGAGGUCAUGUCACUACUGCUUUGUAGCCUGGCAUUCUGUUUGAUGUGUUAGUCUCAUGAGCUUGGUUGAUGAGUCCACUCCUGAGAGAUACAGUCACUCUUUUCGUUUUUUUUUUUUUUCUGCAAUGGCUGAGUCCUCAGCAUAUGGAAGUUCCCAGGCCAGGGACUGAACCCGAGCCACAACUAUGACCUAUGCUGCAGCUGCAGCCUACACUGCAACUGUGGCUGUGCUCAGCCUGGGAUGGAACUCGUGCCUCUGCAGCAAGUCAGAUUUUUAACCCACUCCGCCACGGUUACUCCAAGAUGCGUUCCCUCUUGAGGUGCCACCCCCAUGGAUUUUCACAUGUGAUGCCCGAGAGUUAGGAUUUUCAGGAGCCGCAGCCGGGAGUAACUUCUCAUGGCAAAAAAUGUUAGCUUUCAGCAUUUCCCAGGCUGUGUUCAUCUAACACAGAUCUCUCUAGGACCUUGCUUUUUGAAUAUGUCACAGCAUAUAUAUGAAUAGCAUAACAACUCCAUACCCACAAAAGUUGGAAAAAAUCCAAAGUCCCCCAAACCUUAUAGAGAAUGUGGCAAGAGCUGUGAGCAAUCAGAGACUUAAGGAUAACUGGAGGAAGAAGAAAACACAGGAACAAGAGAAAUUUUGGUUUUUGCUUUUUAGGGCUGCACCCAUGGAAUAUGGAGGUUCCCAGGCUAGGGGUCGACUCGGAGCUGCAGCUGCCGACCCACACCACAGCCACAGCAACUCAGGAUCCAGGGCGAGUCUGCAACCUACACCACAGCUCACAGCAACACCAGAGCCUUAACCCACUGAGCAAGGCUAGGGAUCAAACCUGAGUCCUCCUGGAUACUAGUCGGGUUUGUUACUGUGAACCGCGAUGGGAACCCCUUACGAGAUUAUGUUGGCACCUAUCCUAUGUAUUUAGAAACUCUUAGUUUCCAGUUUCCCUUUGAGACUUAGAUUCCUGGCACCCCACUGUUGAGUUGAGUAUGAGC
rnacentral:lncRNA from 1 species